rnacentral:lncRNA from 1 species
CUGUAAGCCGGAGAUGGUUGUAGGCUUGUAGAUGCUGCCGCACCAGAGUGCCCUCGCCAGGCAUCCCUUGUUUGCCUGCACAUGGGAAGAGGGCAUCUGAUAAGGGUCAUGAAGACUGACAAAGGUAAGCAAAGCCUCGUUGGCCCUGCAAACGGAAGCAUCUGUACUUCAGGAAUGGCUCGUGCACCAUCAGGGCGACAGCACGGCCGAAAUGCACGCGAUGUGUCGAAACGCACCCGGAUGUCGUGGAUAGCGUAAGGGCGGUGUAUGCGAGAGAUCGCGAAGCCGCAGAGGUCGGGUGCAGAGCUGCCUGCAUCCUCGUCUGCGUGCACGCUCCAUUUCAGUAAACAUCCAAGCGGUCCGUGGAAAGCUAUCAGCCCGGCCCUUGGUUUCCCGCUAUUAGAUACAACUAGCUUCCAAAUAGCAUCACGGCACUAUACGUAAGGCCAUCUGCUCGCGCCAGGAUGCCGCAUCGCACCUUGACAAGCUCCAAUGGGUUGGCCACCAAGGUAGAGAUGACUGCUGCAGAGCCGGCGGCCAUCCCCUUCUCCCACAUGUCCAAUUGCCCAGGCAUCUCGCACUGCUCUGCCAUUAUAAUGCAGCAGGCUUUACGCAGCUGGUGACCUGUUUGAGGUCCGCCAAGCUGUCAUACACAGAGCCCUGCAGAUGAGGUGCUGAUCUACGUUAAUUUAUCGCUCUACAGGUGAAUUUGCAUUUGUCUGAAAUGUGGGGCGCUCCAACUGGGCCACAUGGGCGGAUCUCGGCACGUGCGCAAAUUCAAUAAAUC